AUCCAGCUGACGAGUCCCGAAUAGGACGAAACGUACGUUCUGUAU
rnacentral:hammerhead_ribozyme from 1 species